UUAAGAGACAAAAUGGCAGAGUAUGACCUUCCGGGGACACUCCACCGGAAAAGGGAAGAAAGCCUCAGAUGAGCACGCACACAACUUCCUAAACACCCUGCCGCGCGCCCGCCUCUGAGCAUAAGAAAGGCACUGCGCAUGCGGGCGGCCCACCCUACGGGAAGAAUCAUCUGAAAGGCGCCAGCCUAAAAGUCCUACGAUCAAGGUUAAACACUGCACUUGACCUCAGUGUCCACUUGGGUCUCUUCCUAAAGUGCUUUUCUUUCUUUCCUGUUCUAAAGCCUUUUUACAUAAACUUCCACUCCUGCUCUGAAACUUGCCCCAGUCUCUUUUUCUUCCUUGUGCCCCUCAGUUGAAUUCUUUCUUCUGAGAAGGCAAGGAUUGAGGUCGCUGCAGACACGUACAGAUUUGUCACCAGUAAUUCGGAUACCGUUCACCUUUCAUCGUAGAGAAGAAGAAAGCCUAUAAGCUAAUCAGCCACCCAAAACUAUACCCAGAGCCAUCCUGAACUUACCUUGAUGCUCCUAUGCUGCAUACUACAGGUGGCUAUCUUCCUCAGCAUGACACCAGAUUAUGUUACUCCCAUUCACCCUUCCUGGAUCAUUUAAAAUGUCAUCUCCGCGGGCCAUGACCUUUUGAGUCUGGUCUGGCCACCAUUUCUCAUGCUCUUAUAGCACUGAUCAGGAGUUCACAUCCGCUUUUAUUUUCUUCAGACCUUGCCUUUACCUCCAUUCCCUUGCUAUAUCAUUCCAUCAAACUCUGCUUGACGGUUUCUAACAAAUAUAAAUAUCUCUAGAAUUUAAGGUCAGGAAAAAAAAAAGGAGAUUUCAUUAUGUUCAAAUGAAAAGGCUUGAGCACAUUAGUAAACUCAGUAGACAAAGGAGUUCUACUCUGGACAAAAUUGAAAUCAGCAAUGUAUUUGGAAAAAAAGUGUGAAGUGCAGCUCUGAAUACAGUUAACCUUUUCUUCAGAAACUGAGAAUGAUGUGUAUAUGCUGAGAUGAUAUUGUGAAGUGUUAACUUGUAAUUCUCCCUAAAACUGCCCCUCAUACCUCUCCUCAUUCAGGCUGCUGAACAGGAGCAUUGCCUGAACCAUGUUCCAUGUUGUCAUCCCAACACACACAGAGAACUAGGGGAUCACAUUUUAGCUUCUUAAAAGUUUCUUGACUGAGGCUGGGUGUGGUGGCGCAUGCCUGUAAUUCCAGCACUUUGAGAGGCCAAGGUGGGCAGAUCCCCUGAGGUCAGGCGUUCAAGACCAGCCUGGCCAACAUGGUGAAACCCCAUCUCUACAAAAAUACAAAAAUUAGCCAGGCAUGAUGCUGGGUGCCUGUAAUCCCAGUUACUCAGAAGGCUGAGGCAGGAGAAUCACUUGAACCCAGGAGGCAGAGGUUGCAGUGAGCCGAUAUCCUGCCAUUGCACUCCAGCCUGGGCGACAGAGCAAGACUCCAUCUCGAAAAAAAAAAAAGAAAAGAAAAAA
rnacentral:lncRNA from 1 species